UACGAAGGGGGCUAGCGUUGUUCGGAAUUACUGGGCGUAAAGCGCGCGUAGGCGGGCAUUUAAGUCAGGGGUGAAAUGCCGGGGCUCAACCUCGGAACUGCCUUUGAUACUGGAUGUCUGGAGUUCGGGAGAGGUGAGUGGAAUUCCGAGUGUAGAGGUGAAAUUCGUAGAUAUUCGCAAGAACACCAGUGGCGAAGGCGGCGAUCUGGGAAGAUACUGACGCUGAGGUGCGAAAGCGUGGGGAGCAAACAGG
rnacentral:rRNA from 1 species